rnacentral:tRNA from 1 species
GCGGGCGUAGCUCAGGGGUAGAGCACGACCUUGCCAAGGUCGGGGUCGUGAGUUCGAAUCUCAUCGCCCGCUCCA